GUCACAUUUCAACAGACAAUAUAAGGUCAAGGCCAAUUUCAACUGUGUGAGGAUGUAUAUCUUCCUGUGUGCUUGAAGCAGAGGGGAACUAGGUAACAGUGAACAAAAGUAAUGGCUGCUGUAGAAGAGAAAGAAAGAGUUUUGAGAAGUGAAGAUAGGCUACAGACCGAAGUAGAGACCCAUUCAGGGACAUUUUGGGGUGUAGAGUCAAAAUUUCUGUGUAUGAGGACUUGGGGGGGGGGGUCCUUUGUGGGAAUCUAAUGAAUGCCAUCCUUCUUGUCAUCCAACUGAGAAAUGAGGCAUGAGAGUCUCCUGACGGAAAGCUGAAAGGUCACCUACGUUUCUGACAAGGCUGAUUCUGAGGACUGCCUUAGUGUGCCCGUGUACUGAGCCCUUCCAGGAGGCAGUAUGCCCUGACUCCCACAGCACUGCAUGGAGAAGCGACAUAGCCAACCACUGAGCAGGAGAAGAAGUAGGGCAGCUACACACAUUCACCCCGCUAGGCCAUUCUUUCCCCACAGGGAGGAGCAGGUGUGGAAGAUCCUUCCAAAUGAAGAAAUACCAAGAGGAAAUGAGAAGUGUUCCUCCUUCCCAACUGAGACAUGGAGAAUAAGCUGCCAGUUCUUAUGGAGCACGCAGAGCUGGUCCACUCUGGAAAGAAUGAUGAGUCUGUGAAGAAGUCCGUGGGACCUGGCCCCCAGACGGAUACCCCCUGGGGUGCGGAGAGCAUCUGAUCUCACAGGGCAGCCAGAUUUUACUUCCUACAAGAAGUCGUUUUGGAAUUGACUUAAGCUUUAAUGCAAUAAGCUUAUCCCUACAAGGACCAUUUUCAGCAGCUUAGGGAUAGCAUCUUUAGGGAACCCCAGCCUGACAGAUGUCACUUGAGCAGGUUGCAGGGUGUGGGAAUGCAAAACACAUUUUAUACAGAAUUGCCCGUUUUCUCCAUUCUCCUGUGACUCUGGAUUAUGGCAUUCUCUCAACAACUUAUGUCAAUACAACCUUGCGCCUAAGAGUCUUCAAGUCUUGGCUAUAGGAAAGCUAUGAGAGAUAAUUUGCAAGGGGCCAUGAAGACUAUAGCUAGGCACGUGUUGUUUGCUGUGGGCCAGUCUUCCUUGUAAAUGGCACCAAUUGGGAUUGAGAGUGCGAUGGGGAAUGAAAUAAUAAUAUGAAUAAUAAAAAAUAAAAUCUCUUUGUUGGAUGCUUAUUUAAACUGAGUAUUGGUUUAAGCAAAGCCUAAUUUGCCUCUAACCCCCAGAGACAUCUUCUCAAACAUUGCUCUCAGGCAGGCAGAAGAGAAAAAGCGUACAGUGUUUUGCCAAGAUUGAUCCUCUAUAUUUGCAAACUAACAACCUGCAGACGGGUUGGUACAUAUACAAGUAGCAAAGCAACGAUGUGGGAGCAAGCGCCUCACAGUGAGAUAGAAUUAGACGGAAUCCUGGUUCUACCAUUUGUUAGCUAUGAAAUCCCAGGUAACCACUUAUACUUGCUAAACCUUAGUUUACUCAUCU